GGCCGAAAGGCGUAGUCGAUGGGAAACAGGUUAAUAUUCCUGUACUUGGUGUUACUGCGAAGGGGGGACGGAGAAGGCUAUGUUGGCCGGGCGACGGUUGUCCCGGUUUAAGCGUGUAGGCUGGUUUUCCAGGCAAAUCCGGAAAACCAAGGCUGAGGCGUGAUGACGAGGCACUACGGUGCUGAAGCGACAAAUGCCCUGCUUCCAGGAAAAGCCUCUAAGCAUCAGGUAACAUCAAAUCGUACCCCAAACCGACACAGGUGGUCAGGUAGAGAAUACCAAGGCGCUUGAGAGAACUCGGGUGAAGGAACUAGGCAAAAUGGUGCCGUAACUUC
rnacentral:rRNA from 1 species